UACGUAGGGGGCUAGCGUUGUCCGGAAUCAUUGGGCGUAAAGAGCGCGUAGGCGGCCAGAUAAGUCCGGUGUGAAAGUCAAAGGCUCAACCUUUGAAUGCCGCUGGAAACUGUCUGGCUAGAGUCCGGGAGGGGCGAGUGGAAUUCCUGGUGUAGCGGUGAAAUGCGCAGAUAUCAGGAGGAACACCGGUGGCGAAGGCGGGUCUCUGGGCCGAUACUGACGCUGAGGAGCGAAAGCGUGGGGAGCGAUCCGG
rnacentral:rRNA from 1 species